rnacentral:tRNA from 1 species
UAGUAAUAGAAGUAAUUUUACUUAACCUUUAAUUUACAAGACUAACACUCUGUUUUUGAGCUACUAUUACU